AUUUAUUAAUAUAAGAAAGCAAAUCCGCUGAACUUAAGCAUAUUAUUAAGCGGAAGAAAAGAAAAUAACAAUGAUUCUUUUAGUAACGGCGAGUGAACAAAGAAAAGCUCAACAUGGAAAAUCCGACAGAUAGCUACCCGCGAUUUGUCGGAAUUGUCAAGUUGAAAAACAUUCCAAGAGUUCUUUUUUAUAAUAUGACAAUGAGAAGAAGUAGAUAGAAAUGUCUCUCCUUAGAGGGUGAAAGACCCGUAUUCUUAAUCAUAAAACUGAUCAAUUGGAAUGUUUUGUUUUUGAGUCGUGUUCUUUGAGACUGGAGCACUAAUUAGUGUGAUACAUUUCACAUAAAGCUAAAUAUUUGUAGGAGACCGAUAGUAAACAAGUACCGUGAGGGAAAGAUGAAAUAGUACUCAGGAAUGAGCAAUUAAAUAGUACCUGAAAUCGUUAAGAUGGAACGGAUUAAAAAAGGAAAAAAGUAACAACAUAGUUAAAAUGAGAGAUUUUGGUGCGCGCAAUAAAGAAUGGAGUCCUUAAAAAAGGAUGUAGAUAUUCAAGUAUCAAAACAAAAUUUUUCUUUUUUUAAAAAGAAAUUUUUUGAAGCUUUUGUUAUAAUAUUCAUUUUUAUUCUUAUCCUUUUUUUUAGGUAAGAUAAAAAUGAUACAAAAGUUGUCUUUCAUACUAUAUAUAUAUAUAUAUAUAUAUAUAUAAAUAUUAUGUUCUUAUUAAAAGAAACAUGAGUGAAUGAAAAUAAAUAAUCGUGGAGCAAAAAUAAACACAAUAACAAGAAAAAAAAAUAAAAAAAAUAAAAUAAAAUAAUUAAAAUAAAAAUAAAACAAAAAGAAACAAAAAAAAGCAAAAUAUAAAAUAAAAGAAUUAAUUGAAUUUAAUUUCAUUUUAUUUUUUUCCUUUUAUAUUUUGCUUUUUUUUUUUGUUUUAUUUUUAUUUUAUUUUUUUUUUUUUUUUUUUUUUUUUUAUGUUUGUUUUUUUUUUUUUUUUUUUUUUUCCCUUAUUGACUAUUUUUCUAAGCUAAUGUGGAAAAAUAUAACUUGCUUCUUUUUUUUUUUUUCUUUUCUGAAGGGAGAAAAAAAAGAAAAAUAUGAAAGAUACAUUUAUUUAAUUUACUGAGGAUUGUGAAAAUUAUAUUAAUUGUAUAUGAUGCGAAAUAAUAUAAUUUAAGAUGUUUUUAUAAAGUACUUUUUUAACCCACUCGUCUUGAAACACGGACCAAGGAGUCUAACAAAUGUGCAAGUGUAUAUGAUAAGAAUAAACAUAGUAUAAAAAUUUCUACGCAUAAUUAAUGUAACAAAAAUAUAUGUUUAUUAAUUGUAGAUUUUGUGGGGUUUUAAAUUUUUUUUAUAAAUCCACACAAAUGCAUACAAUACCGGUGAGCAAUUAUGCUUUAUUGAGUAAGAGCAUACUUGUUAGGACCCGAGAGGCUUUGAACUAAACGUGAUGAGAUUGAAGUCAGAGUAAAAUCUGAUGGAGGAUCGAGUUGAUACUGACGUGCAAAUCGUUCAUUUCAAUUGCGUUUAGGGGCGAAAGACUAAUCGAAAAGCCUAUUAGCUGGUUAUUUUCGAAAGAUCUCUCAGGAUCGCUGGAGUUGAUUAUAAUAUAGUUUUACCUGGUAGAAAUAAUGAUUAGAGGAUUCAAGGAGAUGAUAAUUCCUUGACCUAUAUAUAUCGAAAGAUUCAAUAGGUAAAAAAAUGAGGAAAUAACUUUAUUGUAUUUUCAUUCAUAUUUAAAAAUAAGAUAACUCCAAGUUGGCCAUUUUUGGUAAGCAGAACUGGCGAUGAGGGAUGCUCCUAACGCUUGGAUAAGGUGCCUAAAUAUCCGCUCAUUAGAUACCAUUAAAAAGGUGUUGGUUUGUGAUUACAGUAGGACGGUAUUCAUAGAAGUUGAAAUCCGCUAGGAAGUGUGUAACAACUUACCUACCUAAUAAACUCGCCCUGAAAAUGGAUGGCGCUAAAGCGGAUUACCGAUACCAAGCCAUAAAAAAGAAAAAAAAAAAAAAUUCAAUAUUUUUUUUAUUUUUUUAGAUUCUUUUUAUGAGUAGAAAAUCGUGGGGUUUUGUGUUGAAGCGAAAUACGUGAGUUUUCGUGGAACAUCUCCCUAGUGCAGAUCUUGGUGGAAGUAGCAACUAUUCUUAUGAGAACUUUGAAGACUGAAGUGGAGAAGGGUUUUUUGUAAACUAUGUUUGAGCAAAAGUUAGCCGUUCCUAAGAGAUAGCUGAAAAGCGUUAUAAAUUGAGGUUACCUAUUAUAUGAAAAGUAUAGUAGUGUUUUUUCUCUUCUCGAAAGGGAAGCAGGUUGAUAUUCCUGCGCCAUAUGUAAUAAGAACUAAUAAAUAGAGAUGGUAACAUAUAUAUAAAUAAAUGAACUCCUUAACAUAGGCCUUACGCUUGGAGUGCGUUAUCUUUGCACUUUAACUUUAUAUCAAACCUUCGAAAUCGAUUUACUUGUAGAAAAGGUUCGAUGAAUUUACAAUAAGCAAUUUAUUUAUUAUAUGCGUGGACCGGUACACAUGAUAUAUAUAUUAAUGAAUUGUUUUGUAGUAAUAGUAAUUCGUUUGUUGUACGAAUUAUCCAAAGUUGUAUGGACUAUCCAUGAAAAAAGGAGGGAACACUAAAUUAAAUGGGAAUGUAUAAAAUACUAUAAAAGUAUGAAAGAAGAAAAAGUAAAGAAAGGAAAGAAAAAAAAAUAUUAACCUUCAGCUUUUUUUUCUAUUUUUUUUUUCUUUUUUUGCUUUCAUAUAUUUUUAUAGUGUUUUUACAUUAACCAUUUUUUUUUUUAUAUUCUUAAAUUACAAUUAUAAAAAUGAACGUACCAAUAACCGCAUCAGGUCUCCAAGGUUAGUAGCCUCUGGUUAAAUAGAAAAACGUAGGUAAGGGAAGUAAGCAAAUUAGAUCCGUAACUUCGGGAAAAGGAUUGGCUCUGAUAACACAAAAUGAGAAGAAAAAAAUGAAAAGAAAAAAAUGAAAAGAAUUGUGGUUGAAAAUAAAAAUGUUAAGAUGUUUAUUUAUAUAUUUAUAUUAGUUUUUCUUAUAUUUUAAGAUUAAUUAAUUAAUUAUAUAUUUAAUAUGUUAAAAUGUUUUAUAUUUCUUCUUCUACUCUAUUCUAUUCCAUUCUAUUCUAUUCUAUUUUUUUUUUUCUCUUUCUCUUCGAUAUUACAUAUAUUUUGUUAUUAUAAUAAAAAUUAUGUAAUAUUGUUUAGCUGUGUUUAUUCAGAACUGAAACGGACAAGGGGAAUCCGACUGUUUAAUAAAAACAUAGCAUUGUGAAAAACUAUAACUGGUAUUAACACAAUGUGAUUUCUGCCCAGUGCUUUGAAUGUCAAGUUGAUGAAAAUUUCAAUUAAGCGCAGGUAAACGGCGGGAGUAACUAUUAUGACUCUCUUAAGGUAGCCAAAAAUGUAUGGUCGAUAAAAAGGACCAUCAGGAAUGGAUUAACGAGAUUCCUACUGUCCCUACUUGCGAUCUAGCGAAACCACAACCAAGGGAAAGGGCUUGGUAAAAUCAGCAGGGAAAGAAGACCCUGUUGUGCUUUACUCUAGUCUGACUUUGUAAAAAGAUUUAAGAGGUAUAGUAUAAGUGGUAGUAGAAAUUGAAAUAAUGUUUUUACGUCAGUGAAAUACCACUACUUUUAAAAAGUUUUUACUAAUCCAUUUAUCUAGUGAAUGACUAUUAUAUAAAUAUAUAUAUAUAUAUAUUUUCUAUAUUUUAUGUGUAUCACUUUUUAUGGAGACAGAGUCAGGUGGGGAGUUUGACUAAGGUGGUACAUCUGUUAAAAAAUAACGCAGAUGUCCAAAGAUAAGCUCAAUGAGAACAGAAAUCUCUUGUAGACUAAAAGGGGAAAAGCUUGUUUGAUUUUUAUUUUCAGAAUGAGUAGAAAACGUGAAAGCGUGGCCUAUCGAUCCUUUAUAUUUGCAAAAUGACGUAAAAUUAUUUACUACUGUGCAUAUAAAGGUGUCUGAAAAGUUACCACAGGGAUAACUUGUUUGUGGCUGCUUAGCGAUAUUAGCAACGUGGCUUUUUGUAUUUUCGAUUACGGCUCUUCCUAUCAUUGGGACGCAGAAGUCUCAAAGUGUCGGAUUGUUCACCCGCUAAUAGGGAACGUGAGCUGGGUUUAGACCGUCGUGAGACAGGUUAGUUUUACCCUACUGAUGAAUAUUAUUAUAUUAUUAUAUAUAUAUAUAGUAUUGUGACAGUAAUCCAACUUGGUACGAGAGGAUUAGUUGGUUCAGACAAUUGGUACAGCAAUUGGGUUGAUAAACCAGUGUUGCGAAGCUACGUCUGUUGGAUAAUGACUGAACGAUUCUAAAGUCAGAACCCAUACUGAUUAAACAAUAAUAUAAUUGUAUAUUUUUGUUAUAAGGUUGUGUUUUAUUUUUUUUUAUUGCUAAUGUAAAAGAGAAAUUUAAUAUAUGCGUUAAUCUAUAUAUAUUAUGUAUAGAUUUUCAUAAACAUAUAAAUAAUCCCAUAAAGACGUAUCUUUUUUUUUUCUAAACAAAGAAAAAUAUGUUCUUUUUAUUGUAAUUUAACAACAAAAAUAAUCUAAAGUAUAUUGUAGACGACAUUUUUAGCCUCAGAGUGCUGUAAACAUGUGAGCAAACUUGUUUUGCGAACUGUUCAGGCUUAUCUCUUGUGGUUUUUGCUUUU
rfam:Plasmodium falciparum MaliPS096_E11 unplaced genomic scaffold supercont1.71, whole genome shotgun sequence.